rnacentral:rRNA from 1 species
AAGCCUCAAGUUAUGUGUGACAACCCCCUGAUUUA